AAACUCCAUACUUUUUUAAUCGCCAACAUAUUAUUUUGCUGUGUGAAUGAUCAGUCUUCAAACAGACCUAACUGUUGGGUGAUGCACUACGUACUUAUAUGACGUCACAAUAUUACAGAAACUAAAAUCCGCGAAACGUUAAUAAGCCAAGGGGUUAAGAUGAUCUUUUUAAAAAUCAACGAUAAAAAGGACGUAUUUCCAGUUACCAAAUGUUGUGUGUUUAUGCUGAAUGAUUAUACACGUGCACAUGUUACGUUUUACCAAUCCAGGCAUCGAAAUACUGGUAAUAGCUGACCAUCCUACAGCAGAGGGGCCGAUGAUUGAGUGUAACGUCAGGCCUACAGACUGUAUAUCGUUCUUUGUGUUUUAAAACCGUUUCCUUGUAAGGAAUGAUGUACAUGUAAACUCGUCCAUUAGUGCAUUACAAACCAGUCAUAUACAGAUGAAAGUGAAUAGUGAAAAAAUCGAAAAAAAAAAAAGAAAACUCUGGUAUACACGGGUUAAAAACUACAAUAUAGACCAAAGGAAAAGAAAAAGAUAGAGGAUCAAGAAAACGCUUUAUAAUAUAUGAAAUUAAAUGAAUAACAUAUAUGCACGACUAAA